CCCCGGCGCCACGAGUGGCAAUCUUGUAUUUGGUCUAAAGCAUUCGUAGCCGGUUUGAAAAAUCUUUUGUGAAAUUGUCGAACUCAAUACGACAGCGCGCAGGGGACACUUUCAAGCUAGAGACUGGGAGGAGUUAGGGGUAUGCCUGGGGGAGCGGUUAAAUGUGAUAAUCCCAGGUAGACCACCUGUGGCGAAGGCGCCUAACUAGAACAGUUCUGACGGUGAGGGAUGAAAGCUAGGGGAGCGAUCC
rnacentral:rRNA from 1 species